rnacentral:lncRNA from 1 species
UCACUUUGUUGACAAAAGGUUGGCCUGCUGCAACUUGCAAGCCACCAGUUGCUGAUGCGCAGUCGAACGCUGCGCAUGCCUCGUAUCUUUCUGUCUUCCUUCUCCCCCACCCCGUUUCCUUUAAGUUAGCGUGCUUCGAAUAAACGCACGUCUUUUGCUGGUCGACGCCUGUCCGUUCACUGCGGAG